UCGGCCUAGGGACGCAGCAGUGGGGGAUAUUGCACAACGGGGGAAACCCUGAUGCAGCGACGCCGCGUGAGGGAAGACGGUUUUCGGAUUGUAAACCUCUGUCUUUGGGGACGAAUUGAGACGGUACCCAAGGAGGAAGCUCCGGCUAACUACGUGCCAGCAGCCGCGGUAAUACGUAGGGAGCAAGCGUUGUCCGGAAUUACUGGGUGUAAAGGGAGCGUAGGCGGGAUAGUAAGUUGAUUGUUAAAACUAUCGGCUCAACUGGUAGAUGCGAUCAAAACUGCAAUUCUUGAG
rnacentral:rRNA from 1 species